rnacentral:lncRNA from 1 species
AGGGACUAUAGAAAAUUUUAAUAAAAUUCCUAAGGUUAUGCCUCACACACUCGUGUGAAGGAAAAGCACAUGCCCGUGUCCUUUAUUGGAUUUAUUUUCCAUUUCGAACCUACAGGGGUUUUCACAUGGCCAAGCACACGCCUGUGUCCCUCACACGGCCUAGACACACUCGUGUCAUUGUCCGUGUCCAAAAACUCGGACAUUCUGUUUAUGACGUCACCAUUCAUUUGAGGCACACGCCCGUGUGCUAGGUCGUAUCCUCCACACGGUUGAGACACACGGUCGUGUCUCUACCCGUGUGUU